CGCGGCCUAUCAGCUUGUUGGUGAGGUAACGGCUCACCAAGGCAUCGACGGGUAGCUGGUCUGAGAGGAUGAUCAGCCACACUGGGACUGAGACACGGCCCAGACUCCUACGGGAGGCAGCAGUAGGGAAUCUUGCGCAAUGGGCGAAAGCCUGACGCAGCAACGCCGCGUGGGGGGUGAAUGCCUUCGGGUUGUAAACCCCUUUCAGCAGGGACGAAAUUGACGGUACCUGCAGAAGAAGGUCCGGCCAACUACGUGCCAGCAGCCGCGGUAAUACGUAGGGACCGAGCGUUGUCCGGAACUAUUGGGCGUAAAGAGCUCGUAGGCGGUUCAGUAAGUCGGGUGUGAAAACUCAAGGCUCAACCUUGAGACGCCACUCGAUACUGCUGUGACUUGAGUCCGGUAGAGGAGUGUGGAAUUCCUGGUGUAGCGGUGAAAUGCGCAGAUAUCAGGAGGAACACCUGCGGCGAAGGCGGCACUCUGGGCCGGUACUGACGCCGAGGAGCGAAAGCAUGGGGAGCAAACAGGAUUAGAUACCCUGGUAGUCCAUGCCGUAAACGUUGGGCACUAGGUAUGGGACCAUAUCAACGGGUUCCGUGCCGUAGCUAACGCAUUAAGUGCCCCGCCUGGGGAGUACGG
rnacentral:rRNA from 1 species